rnacentral:misc_RNA from 1 species
UAAUAAAAAAUUUGUGUUCAUAUUUAGAUUUUUGAUGCUAUUCAUUAAUCGUGUUGUGUUCAUGUUAACCUUUAAUUGUGUUUGCAUCAUAUUUGUGUAGACACAAACACGAUUUGCCAACCUGAAUUACCACCCCUACUAAUAGCAUUGGAGUGAAGAACAGACUUUUUCUACUUCAUUUGUCUAUUUAUUUCACAGAUAAAAUAUCUCUGUUAAGCAGUGCUAAUUUGUGUGGCCAUCUUCACCAGACAAACUUAAAAUAUACUUUUUAAAUACAUCGAUGGAAAUUGUAAUGCAUUCUCCUUGGGUAUGUUCAGAAAACUUAUGCUUUAGAUAUUUUCUGAAGUUGUGGUUGAUUUUUCAGAAGUCACAAACUCCCAAUUACAGGCGACGCAAAUACCUAGUUACUUUGCAACUUUUAUCUAAAUUCACUCUUUUGAUACUGAUUUUUGAAUUAACUACCAUGCAACUCUUAUAUGGUCUGCCCUGCUACAUUUUUGUCAUGUUCUUUUAUGGGCAGAAGUCUGAAGUCUGUGGGUCAAAGUUUAUUUGGGUAAAAAAGAACCAAAGAAAUGACUGAUAUGUCAGUUUUAUCUUGUGAUCCUAUUCCCUUGCUUUCCUUCAUUUUAACAUAUCUUCCUGGUUCAAAUUUUAUGUGAUUAGAUCAUCUCGUUUGUGACAUUUAUUAUUUUUGUCAAAAUACAAGCUAAAUUAAUGUGAAUGCCAAGAUUAAGAGCUUGCUUUUUGGCUUGUAUUUCUGUGAAUAUAUUAGAUAUAGAAUUGACCAGGAAGAAUUUAAGAUAGGCUUAAAGUACUUAGAUUUACAGUGUUUUUGCUGAAGCUCUAGGAUUUUUCUCUUUGGUUUUUAAUAUUGAGGCUCAAAUUACUUCUGUUUCACUGUUAUCGC